CAAAGUGCUGACAGUGCAGGUAG
rnacentral:ncRNA from 4 species